rnacentral:tRNA from 1 species
AAUGAGAUGCCUGAUCAAAAGGACUAUUUUGAUAGAAUAGAUCAUGUGGCUAAACCACUCUCAUUU